GUUGGUGAUGCAGAUGGUUAAGCGCUCAGCUUCUAACCGAAAGGCUGGUGGUUCGAAACCACCCAGCAACA
rnacentral:tRNA from 1 species